GUGGGGAAUAUUGCACAAUGGGCGAAAGCCUGAUGCAGCAACGCCGCGUGAGGGACGACGGCCUUCGGGUUGUAAACCUCUUUUAGUAGGGAAGAAGCGAAAGUGACGGUACCUGCAGAAAAAGCACCGGCUAACUACGUGCCAGCAGCCGCGGUAAUACGUAGGGUGCAAGCGUUAUCCGGAAUUAUUAGGCGUAAAGAGCUCGUAGGCGGUCUGUCGCGUCUGCUGUGAAAACUGGAGGCUCAACCUCCAGCCUGCAGUGGGUACGGGCAGACUAGAGUGCGGUAGGGGAGAUUGGAAUUCCUGGUGUAGCGGUGGAAUGCGCAGAUAUCAGGAGGAACACCGAUGGCGAAGUCAGAUCUCUGGGCCGUAACUGACGCUGAGGAGCGAAAGCGUGGGGAGCGAACAGGAUUAGAAACCCGAGUAGUCC
rnacentral:rRNA from 1 species